rnacentral:rRNA from 1 species
GACGAACGCUGGCGGCGUGCUUAACACAUGCAAGUCGAACGAUGAACCCGGAGCUUGCUCUGGGGGAUUAGUGGCGAACGGGUGAGUAACACGUGAGUAACCUGCCCUGGACUCUGGGAUAAGCGUUGGAAACGACGUCUAAUACCGGAUAGGACCUUGGAUCGCAUGAUCUGGGGUGGAAAGUUUUUUCGGUCUGGGAUGGACUCGCGGCCUAUCAGCUUGUUGGUGAGGUAAUGGCUCACCAAGGCGUCGACGGGUAGCCGGCCUGAGAGGGUGACCGGCCACACUGGGACUGAGACACGGCCCAGACUCCUACGGGAGGCAGCAGGAGGGAAUAUUGCACAAUGGGCGAAAGCCUGAGGCAGCAACGCCGCGUGCGGGAUGACGGCCUUCGGGUUGUAAACCGCUUUUAGUAGGGAAGAAGGGCUUCGGCUUGACGGUACCUGAAGAAAAAGGACCGGCUAACUACGUG